ensembl:snRNA U6 U6 spliceosomal RNA
GUGCUUGCUUCAGCAGCACGUAUACUAAAAUUGGAAUGCUACAAUUAGCAUUAGAAGAUUAGCAUGGCCUUAGUGGAAGGAUGAUACGCAAAUUCAUAGCGCACUCCGUAUUCUU